UACGUAGGGGGCAAGCGUUAUCCGGAUUUACUGGGUGUAAAGGGAGCGUAGACGGCAGCGCAAGUCUGAAGUGAAAUGCCGGGGCCCAACCCCGGAACUGCUUUGGAAACUGUGCGGCUCGAGUGCGGGAGAGGUAGGCGGAAUUCCUAGUGUAGCGGUGAAAUGCGUAGAUAUUAGGAGGAACACCAGUGGCGAAGGCGGCUUACUGGACCGUAACUGACGUUGAGGCUCGAAAGCGUGGGGAGCAAACAGG
rnacentral:rRNA from 1 species